GGGUAGGUGCCCGAGUGGUUAAAGGGAGCAGACUGUAAAUCUGCCAACUUCGGUUUACGAUGGUUCGAAUCCAUCCUUGCCCACCA
rnacentral:tRNA from 1 species